GCAGCCGGAGUCACGCGAAGUCGGAAGUACCAGCUGCGGGAAGGAGCUGCCCACUGUGCGUCUUCUCAACUUGUUGGGACAACCUUCCUGCGGAAAGGAGAGACAACCUUCCUGCAGAAAGGAGCUACCUGCUUCAGGUCUACUGAGAGCUGUUCUGCCACUCAAUAAAGCUCUUCUCCAUCUUGCUAAGCCUCCAUUUGUCCGCAAUACCUCAUCUCCCUGGACGCAGGACAAGAACUCAGGACCCGCCUGGAGGUACUAAAAGAGCUUUAACACAAACAGGGCUGAAACACGCUCCCUUGCUUGCCACAUUGCGGGUGACGAGAAGGAGAAAAGAGCUGUGUUCCUUUGAGGAUCCCAGACCUAGGGUCUCCCUGAGCCAGGGCUGUGACACUCCCUUUGGGGUUCUAUGGUUCCUGGCAUCUUCAAGCUUCCAGGCGCCACCACCUUCGUUCCCUUCAUCCAAACAGGUGCCCACAGCAGAAUCCACAUGCCGUCCAUCUGGUCCAGCCUCACGCAGAGCCACAACUGUGCUGGCGCCUGGAGCUGCCAGCCCCACUGCAGCAGCCGGACUGACAUUCAGACGUGGAGCAAGUUGGACUGCAUAGGGACCCACCAGUGAGAUGGACGCUGUCUGUAAACGGUUCUCCAGGGAGGCUGCUCUGCCAAGUCUGGUAUUUCAUGAAUAGAUCUGAAAACAGACAUUAUCUCUUCUCCCAGUGAAGAGAGAGCGAUGAAGCCUCAGGACAAAAGGAGGCAGUGGGAUGAUGCCACCAAGGGACCAUUCUGAAGAGCCAUCAGCAAAAAGCAGCCACACCUGCUUAUGUGGCUCUGGGACAAAUGAUCUGAGCCGUGACGUGGAACUUAGAUGCAGUAAAGUCCAUUGUAUUGAGCCUUCUCUGGCACUCCUCCCAAAACAGAGAGACAACAGUUCUGUUAUGUUUUGUUUGGUUUGGUCUCCCUCAACUCAUCAAUGAGCCUUUUUAAAAAGAAUAAUUCGGUACUUUCUUUAAAGGUGGUAGAAUUGGCUCUUACUCUAGUCUGUUUUCUCCUUCCUAAGGGAGGAGCAUCCUUCUUGUUAACACAGAACCCCAAACUAUCUGAUCAGAAAGAAAAUAAUUCAAUCUGCUGUUUGAAUUGACUUCCAGCAGCGUCUUAAAUUUUAAUUGGCCCCCGGCCUAAAACAACCUCAAACUGUAUGUCUUCCAUACUCCUCUCACCACCACCAUCACCACUGCCCCUACAACCACUCUAAGCAUAGUACAUAUGGUGAACAUACCAUGAUAUUGAAUGCUAUUCUCACUCUGCCUUCUCUUAAUCUGAUCUUACUCAGGUUCUGACAGUUGACGCUGAAAACAUUUUUUGUUGUUGUUGUGGUUGAGACAGAGUUUCGCACUUGUUGCCCAGGCUGGAGUACAGUGGUGCGAUCUCGGCUCACUGCAACCUCCGCCUCCCGGGUUCAAGUGAUUCUCCUGCCUCAGCUCCCCAAGUAGCUGGGAUUACAGGCAUGUGCCACCAUGCCUGACUAAGUUUGUAUUUUUAGUAGAGACGGGGUUUCUCCAUGUUGGUCAGGCUGAUCUCGAACUCCCGACCUCAGGUGAUCCGCCUGCCUCGGCCUCCCAAAGUGCUGGGAUUACUGGUGUGAGCCACCAUGCCCGGCCAUGACACUGAAAACAUUUUAAAGGAGAAACAGAUUACCAAUUAUCCAUAAAGAUGAGAAUUAUCUGGCAACAUUUUGGUUAGAUGAAAACUGUGACUAGAGAGCUAACAAAAACAAACACAAUGAGCACUAGAUAUCUGCCAGGCAUUGUUCACAGCCCCUUUUUUGGUCUCAUCUGAUCCUUGCUGUAGAUCAGGAAUCAACAAACUAAGCUUUCACCACUUGUCAGGGGUAAAGCCAUGUCAGUCUGAGUCCCAAUGCCACACUGUUAGCCACUCUCCCACACCACCUGCUCCAACUAUUUGAAGAAGGAGAAUGUUUUUCCAGUUAAUAAAGUUAAUAGUUAAAAACUGAAGGAUGCUCUUUGUUUUUUAACUUUUAUUAUUAACCAAAACUUGAAAAUAUAUAUCCUCCCCCAGUGAUACCUCUAUUUAGAAUAUUAGAAUGGAUAUUUGGUACUUAGCCUUCUAUUUUCCUGGAUGAGUAAUAUUUUGAGGCCUGUGCAGUUGUUUAAGAUACAGAUCAUUCUGUCUCAUACCAA
rnacentral:lncRNA from 1 species